rnacentral:rRNA from 1 species
UACGAAGGGGGCUAGCGUUGCUCGGAAUCACUGGGCGUAAAGCGCACGUAGGCGGCUUUUUAAGUCAGGGGUGAAAUCCUGGAGCUCAACUCCAGAACUGCCUUUGGUACUGAGAAGCUUGAGUCCGGGAGAGGUGAGUGGAACUGCGAGUGUAGAGGUGAAAUUCGUAGAGAUUGGGAAGAACACCCGUGGCGAAGGCGGCCAACUGGACCGACAUUGACGCUGAGGCGCGAAAGCGUGGGGAUCAAAC